rnacentral:misc_RNA from 1 species
CUAGUCAGGUAGCAAGG